ACAAAGGGCUGCAAGUUCGCGAGGACAAGCAAAUCCCAUAAACCGUGGCUCAGUUCAGAUCGUAGGCUGCAACUCGCCUACGUGAAGGCGGAAUCGCUAGUAAUCGCAGGUCAGCAUACUGCGGUGAAUACGUUCCCGGGCCUUGUACACACCGCCCGUCACACCAUGGAAGUUGGCCACGCCCGAAGUCGUUACUCCAACCCUCUGGGAGGAGGACGCCGAAGGUGGGGCUGAUGACUGGGGUGAAGUCGUAACAAGGUAGCCGUACCGGAAGGUGCGGCUGGAUCACCUCCUAAC
rnacentral:rRNA from 1 species